CCGGGCCCAAAUUCUACGGGARGCAGCAGUAGGAAUCUUCCACAAUGGACGCAAGUCUGAUGGAGCAACGCCGCGUGAGUGAAGAAGGCUUUCGGGUCGUAAAACUCUGUUGUGGAGAAGAAUGGUCGGCAGAGUAACUGUUGUCGGCGUGACGGUAUCCAACCAGAAAGCCACGGCUAACUACGUGCCAGCAGCCGCGGUAAUACGUAGGUGGCAAGCGUUAUCCGGAUUUAUUGGGCGUAAAGCGAGCGCAGGCGGUUUUUUAAGUCUGAUGUGAAAGCCCUCGGCUUAACCGAGGAAGUGCAUCGGAAACUGGGAAACUUGAGUGCAGAAGAGGACAGUGGAACUCCAUGUGUAGCGGUGAAAUGCGUAGAUAUAUGGAAGAACACCAGUGGCGAAGGCGGCUGUCUGGUCUGUAACUGACGCUGAGGCUCGAAAGCAUGGGUAGCGAACAGGAUUAGAUACCCUGGUAGUCCAUGCCGUAAACGAUGAAUGCUAGGUGUUGGAGGGUUUCCGCCCUUCAGUGCCGCAGCUAACGCAUUAAGCAUUCCGCCUGGGGAGUACGACCGCAAGGUUGAAACUCAAAGGAAUUGACGGGGGCCCGCACAAGCGGUGGAGCAUGUGGUUUAAUUCGAAGCAACGCGAAGAACCUUACCAGGUCUUGACAUCUUUUGAUCACCUGAGAGAUCAGGUUUCCCCUUCGGGGGCAAAAUGACAGGUGGUGCAUGGUUGUCGUCAGCUCGUGUCGUGAGAUGUUGGGUUAAGUCCCGCAACGAGCGCAACCCUUAUGACUAGUUGCCAGCAUUUAGUUGGGCACUCURGUAAGACUGCCGGUGACAAACCGGAGGAAGGUGGGGAUGACGUCAAAUCAUCAUGCCCCUUAUGACCUGGGCUACACACGUGCUACAAUGGAUGGUACAACGAGUUGCGAGACCGCGAGGUCAAGCUAAUCUCUUAAAGCCAUUCUCAGUUCGGACUGUAGGCUGCAACUCGCCUACACGAAGUCGGAAUCGCUAGUAAUCGCGGAUCAGCACGCCGCGGUGAAUACGUUCCCGGGCCUUGUACACACCGCCCGUCACACCAUGAGAGUUUGUAACACCCGAAGCCGGUGGCGUAACCCUUUUAGGGAGCGAGCCGUCUAAGGUGGACAAAUGGGG
rnacentral:rRNA from 1 species